rnacentral:rRNA from 1 species
CCUACGGGGAGCAGCAGUGGGGAAUAUUGGGCAAUGGGCGCAAGCCUGACCCAGCAACGCCGCGUGAAGGAAGAAGGCUUUCGGGUUGUAAAGCUCUGUUGCGGGGGAAAAAAGGCAGCAUCAGGAAAUGGGUGCUGACUGAUGGUGCCCCGCCAGAAAGUCACGGCUAACUACGUGCCAGCAGCCGCGGUAAUACGUAGGUGGCGAGCGUUAUCCGGAAUGAUUGGGCGUAAAGGGUGCGCAGGCGGUCCUGCAAGUCUGGAGUGAAACGCAUGAGCUCAACUCAUGCAUGGCUUUGGAAACUGGAGGACUGGAGAGCAGGAGAGGGCGGUGGAACUCCAUGUGUAGCGGUAAAAUGCGUAGAUAUAUGGAAGAACACCAGUGGCGAAGGCGGCCGCCUGGCCUGUUGCUGACGCUGAGGCACGAAAGCGUGGGGAGCAAAUAGGAUUAGAUACCCUGGUAGUC